UUAAUAUACAUAUCAUUUAGUUAUAUAAUAAUAAUAAUAAUCAUACACAUAAUUUGAUUUAAUAAUAACCUAAUCUGACAGCAGGAGGCACCUCUGGAACACCAGAUACAGACCAGAUACAGCGUUUUCUCGGUUACCGCUAUAAACAAAGCUGCGCUUCGCUGAAACACUGCUGAAACAAUGAACUUUACAGAGACGAGAUGAAAAGAAAACACCACGUACACUUUUCAGAAGACAGUCAGCUCCCAUCAGAAACACAUUCAUAUAAACCCCCAAAUCAAUAUUGAGGAUUUUCUUACAAUAGUUCAUGCAUCAUGAACAGUGAGUGAUCUGCAUGCUACAGUAUUUUUCUCUGUGGGUUCGUCUUCUGCGUCUCUUGCCUGUGUUAACGGGUGUUAACAGACUUCAUGUUUUCACGUAUAAUGACAUUUUGGAAAAUGAUUGCAUUGCAACGCAGUUUAAGUCCAGAACCGAGAGUUGCAAUAAGGCAAAAAACGUCCGGCAUUACGCUGUUUUCAUCAUCAAUGAAACUCGCGGACAGCCGUGCACAACCAGGUACUGCGCAUGUGUCGAGCUCAUCCGUCCGCGCUCAUCUGCAGUUGAGUUUACUUUUGAAAGCUGUGCGGCUGUGUGCGAAACUGAAAGGAACGCUGAAUGUGAAGUUCCAGGGGCAGCUCCUUAAGUUUGGCCAUCCUACACACACACGUGACUGACCGCUCGCUCGCACCAUCAGGAGGAGGAAGGGUCAGUGUUACUCUCUACACUGCACUCAGCCUGAGGGAUUCCUACUCUUUCAGUCAUUGAGGAGACAUGGAAAACAGUGUAUACCGCAGGAUCGGUAUAGUAGAAAAUAUUUGUGGUUUUGAAACCGUGAAAUUUUCAAACCACGGUAUACCUUGAAACCGGUAAUCGGCCCAUGCCUUGUGUCCCGUAAAAGCCAGAACCCGUCAGUAGGUAAGGGGUUACUAGGGGGUGGGGUUACAUUGGCUAAAUCCUCUCUUGCUGCUACCCUCUUUCAUCAAGUUGCAGUGGUCCUCAGCCACUUAUGACUGUCAGGCUUUAAUUGACUCUGGUGUUGAGGGUAAUUAAGACUCUGAUCUUUCUUUCAGACUUGAACUCCCUGUGUUUGCUCUCUCCCAGCCUAUUGCUGUCCAUGUUCUCAGUGGUGUAUCUCUUCCUUCCAUCACUCACAUUACAGGUCCAGUAAGACUCAUCACUUCUGGAUGAGCAUAUGGACCUGUCAAACGCGCCCAGUGAGUACCUCGACCAGAAGAGAGCAUUCAGUAAUUCUCAAACUGCUUCUCUACCUCUGCAUUGUCCCUAUGAUUGUGCAAUAGAUUUAUUACCAGGUACAUCUCCGCCUACUUUAUAUGCUUUCUGCCCCAGAGAGGGAGGCCAUGGAGAAAUAUAUUUCUGGUUCUCUAGCAGCCAAGAUCAUUUUCCCCUCACCGGCUUUUUUGUUGUUGUUGUUGUUUGUUUGUUUGUUUUGUUUCUUUGUGAAAAAAGACUGGUCUCUUUGUCCCUGUAUCGAGGGCUGAACAACAUCUCAGUGAAGAAUACAUAUCCUUUGCCAUUGUCUUCUGCCUUUGAAUGUCUGCAGGGGGCAUCCAUGAAAUUGGACCUCUGCAACGCUUAUCAUUUGGUUCGCAUAAGGGAGGGGGAUGAAUGGAAGACUGCUUUUAAUACCCCCAGGGGGCACUUUGAAUAUUGCGUUCCUUUUGGGCUUUCCAAAGCCCCCGCAGUCUUCCAGGCACUCGUCAAUGACAUGUUGAGAGAGAUGCUAGAUCAGUUCAUUUGUCUUCCUGGAUGACAUACUGAUAGUUUCUCUCCAGGAACAUGUUCAGGAUGUCAGGUGGGUGCUUCAUUCAGAAUGGUCUUUGUCAAGACGGAGAAAUGUGCUUUCCAUGUACAGUCUGUUCCCUCUUUUGGUUACAUUGUGUCAGUCAAGGGGAUGCACAUGGAUCUGGACAAGAUUCAGGCUGUGGUUGAUUGGCCAAUUCCAGAUUUGCGCUAGGCCCUGCAGAGGUUUCUGUGCUUUGCCAAUUUCUACCUGCGUUUUAUUUGCAAUUUAAUGCAGCUAGCUGCCCCUUUGACUACCUUCCAUUCAGGUGGUACAGUGCAGCUGAAGCUGCGUUUGCCAAACUGAAGAGCUGCUUGUUUUCAGCUCCCAUCCUUAUCGCCCCGAUCCCUCCUGGCAGUUUGUGGUGGAGGUUGACGCGUCAGAAGUGGGGGUUGGUGCCAUCCUAUCCCAGCGUUCUUCCUUGGCCGGUAAGAUGCAUUCUUGCGCAUAUUUUUCUCACUGUUUGUCUCCCUCUGGAUGCAACUAUGAUAUUGGUAAUAGAGAGCUGCUGGCAGUCAAGCUUACCUUGGAGGAAUGGCAUCAUUGGUUAGAAGGUUCGGGGUUCCUUUUGUCAUCUGGACAGAUCAUAAGAAUCUUGAGUACAUCAAGUCUGCGAAAAGAUUGAACUCUAGGCAGGCUUGGUGAGCUUUAUUUUUCGGUCGUUUCGAUUUUCUUUUUUAUCUGCUGGGCUCCAAGAACAUUAAGCCCGAUGCGUUAUCCCGAAGUUUUGACAUUCAGCAUGCCUGUCUUAUCUCGAGCCUAUUGUGCCACAGAAUUUUAGUUUCUGUAGUCUCAUGGGAGAUUGAAUCAGGUCCACACAGCCUCCCAAGGGGUAACGCCUCCGCCCGGAUGCCCACCGGGUCAUUUGUUUGUGCCAGAGAUUUUCCGGCCCGAUGUCAUUCGAUGGAGUCCCACAUUUUGCUAGAUUUCUUCACAGGUCUCCCGCCCUCAAGUGGGAACAUGGUGGUUUUGACCGUGGUAGACUGAUUCUCAAAAGCUGCUCAUUUCAUCCCUCUGCCUAAAUAACCAUCUGCCAGAGAGACAACAGUUGCUGUCAUUGACCAUGUUUUUCGCAUUUAUGGCCUCCCGACGGACAUGGUCUAUGACAGGGGGCUUCAGUUUGUCUCUAAAUUUUGGAGUGAGUUUUGACAUUUGUUGGGGGCAACUGUUAGUCUUUCUUUUGGGUAUCAUCCCCAGAGUAAUGGUCAGACAGAGAGAGCCAACCAAGACCUAGAACGUAUGUUGCGACGUUUGGUCUCUCAGAAACCAUCCUCUUGGAGUCAGCAGCUUUCAUGGGUUACUCAUUACCAGUAUCUGCCACGGGCCUGUCUCUGUUUGAGUGUAGUUUAGGGUACCAGCCACCUAUUUUAUAUCCAUGUCCUCCAUCAAAAAGUGUGGUUUUCAUCUAGGAACAUUCCUCUCUGUACCAUAUGAAAUAAACUUGCUCCUUAAUUUUAUUGGCCCAUUUACGAUCACCAAGAUUAUUAGUCCAGUAGUGGUCCGCCUGAAACUGCCUUCGGCGUACAGGAGGAUUCAUUCUGUUUUAUGUUUCCAAAUUAAAGCCUGUUUUUCAUGCUAACAUUAAACCACAAACCCCAGUUCCCCCACUGCCGCGACUCGUAGAUGGAGAAUUGGUUAAUUCAGUGAAUCGGACUCUGGACUCUGGGCGGAGGAGACUCAGAUUCCAGUACUUGGUGGACUGGGAAGGUUACGGUCCAGAGGAGAGGAGUUGGGUGCCUGCAAGAGUCAUAUUGGAUCACUCUCUUAUUGAUCAUUACAAUCGUCAGGCAAGUUCCUCUGGGAGUGCCAGGAGGUGCUCUUAGGGUAGGGGGUACUGUCAUGGUUCAUGGGUCUGUGUGCUCAUUUCUGUGACUGUGGGUGUUAUCCGCUCCUUGUGCUCGUCAGUGUUGCCUAGUUACCCCGCACCUGAUGAGCUGAUCAGAGUGGUCACAGGUGUAGCUCGUCUGCACUGCCUAUAUCUGGCUGGUGUUUCUGUUGAGUUGUCAGAUCGUUGUUGCUCAUGUCUUGUUUGGUUUUCUAUCAGACCUUCUAGUUCCUGAGUUUGAUUCCCACUUUGUUGCUGUUCUCUGUUCCCUGGAGGGUUUGGACUGCUGAUUAUUCUCUACCUGAGUGUGACUCUGCACUGCCGGGUUACCUGCACUUCUAUUAUUGAUGUAGUUCGAGUCAUCUAAUAAAGACUACCUUUCACUUGCAAUUGGAUCUUGUGUUUCGGUUUCAUGACCUUUUCAUUUUAAUUGCAAAUCACAUGCAAUUACAUGUCCAAAACCUAUAUGUAAGUUUACUCUUAAAGUACUUGUUU